UACGUAGGGUGCGAGCGUUGUCCGGAUUUAUUGGGUUUAAAGGGUGCGUAGGCGGGCUGUUAAGUCUGGGCUGAAAGCCGGCCGCUCAACGGUACGGUUUGGCCUGGAUACUGGCAGUCUUGAGGGCGUUGGGGGCAGGCAGAAUUUGUGGUGUAGCGGUGAAAUGCUCAGAUACCACAAGGAAUACCGAUCGCGAAGGCAGCCUGCUACGACGCCACUGACGCUGAGGCACGAAAGCGUGGGGAGCAAACAGG
rnacentral:rRNA from 1 species